AGGACACGCUGGCGGCGUGCCUAACACAUGCAAGUCGAGCGGGGUUGAAGCGAGAGGUAACUCGAGCUUCUACCUAGCGGCGGACGGGUGAGUAACGCGUGGGCAACCUGCCUCAAGGUUUGGGAUAACAGCCCGAAAGGGCUGCUAAUACCGGAUAUGCCUAUGGCCUCGCAUGGGGCUAUGAGCAAAGGGGAAACCCGCCUUGAGAUGGGCCCGCGUCCCAUCAGCUAGUUGGUGAGGUAACAGCUCACCAAGGCGACGACGGGUAGCCGGCCUGAGAGGGUGACCGGCCACACUGGGACUGAGACACGGCCCAGACUCCUACGGGGGGCAGCAGUGGGGGAUCUUGCACAAUGGGCGAAAGCCUGAUGCAGCGACGCCGCGUGAGCGAAGAAGGCCUUCGGGUUGUAAAGCUCUGUCUGGAGGGACGAACAAAAUGACGGUACCUCCGGAGGAAGCCACGGCUAACUACGUG
rnacentral:rRNA from 1 species